rnacentral:lncRNA from 1 species
AACCCAGGAUGGAUGCAUGUGUAGGCACAUCAAUGAAAGAACAAAAUUGCCAUGCAAUGCAAGGAAUGCUGGAUCUUGGAAGCAAUAUUUUAUCAAGAAACCUAUUGGUAAUAUGCAUUUUCUGAUUCACAUGUUCAGUGCAGAACCUUAUAUUUACAUUUAGUGCGGUCAGAAAUCUUUGCAAAUUUGUUUAACUUGACCAUCAAGUUUUUCAAGAAAUUUAGAAUGUUCAAGACUCUUUGAAGCAGAUGAGGAGCAAUGCUCUGAUGUCCUUAACCAGCAUUUUAUAAGAUUUUUAGAACAUUAUCACAAGCAUGAAAUUAAUCAGAGAAAAACAAGCUUGUGUCUUUUCUAUUUGAAUAGGCAUGGCAAUCUUAAGAUUGAUAGGCACAUUGAUUGCCUCUAUAACUACAUGACAAUUUCCUUAGUCCACAUUUAUGUGAUAGUGAGGUUGAUUGAUUCUUUAAACAUCCUCAUCACACAGGUAGUCUGAAAGGAAUCAUUGCUACCUCUGUCUGGCCUCUACUUCUGACAAUUCUGGUAACUGAUGCCAACUGUCCACCUAUUAUGCAUGUUUAUUAGCAUAGUUGCUCUAUAUUAAUAGGCAAACCAAUAACUAUAUCUUAUCAAUCUUGGCUCAUCCAACAUGCUUGGCAUUGGCCCUUUCCUUAUUCGGCCUAUAGUGCAGUCUUCAACAUUUUGAAUAACUUGGAGACUGGUUCGGUCACCUCGGCCUACUACUAUCGGCCAUUUAACUUCAUACACCUUGUAUUAUAUGUCAUGGCCACAUCUUGAUCUUGUCAGCCUGCUCCUCAGCAUCAUAACCGAAUUCUACUUUUUGGGCUUGUACCUCCAUAGAUGGGACUUUUCAUGGUUGAACCCUUUCAACUCAGCAAAGGUCACAAGAUUUCUAUCUUUACUUCAUCUAACUUUGUACACAUGGCACAUACCCAUAGCCUCUAGUUAAGUUGUCGAAAUGAGGUGUAAACACCAUUUUAUAGAAGUUUAGCAUGGUUUAAGCAUCCAUAGAAGAAAUCUAAUUAGGUCAUCAUGGGAGUUGGAAACUUGAGACAUAACUGUUUUUCGAUAGUAUUAGGAUAAUUAUUAUAUUAUUGAUAUUGAUAAUUUCUUAUUAUAAUAUAUCUAUAUAGAAGAUAAAU